rnacentral:lncRNA from 1 species
AAUCCUGAAUCCACACAAGUCCGCGGUUGGGCGCGUUCUAGGCCAUGCGCCAUAUCCCGGAUUUUCAUAAAGGCUCUAGAGAGUUUGCCAAAGACUCUCAUAGGAAGCGGCCUACACUUCCACCUUUAUAUAGGUGAACCCAUCAAGUGUAUACUGACAUACACCACCCUUUAGGGGCUAUGAGUUUCAUUAAGAAUCUAAACGAUUCAUCCUUUCACAAUUUGUCAGUAAACACUACAUGCACACAAGAAGGGAUAUAAAUAAUUGUAGUGCUAUAAUUAAGUAAUUACGUGACUUGUUGUUACCCAUUGAACCCAAUUCAUGGGAUCUCCAAUCACAUGGGUUGGGUUUCCAUCGCGUAUUACUUACUCAAGAUAUUGGCAAUAGUCCCAUCCCUCUGGAUGCUUCUUGGACUACCUUUUUAUUCAAUCCCUUAGUAAGCGGAUCCGCUAGGUUCUUUUCAGACCUUACAAAUUCCAUGGAAAUAACCCCAUUACUGAUCAGUCCUCGUACAAUA